GACGUAGGGCGCGAGCGUUGUCCGGAUUUAUUGGGCGUAAAGAGCUCGUAGGCGGCUUGUCGCGUCGACUGUGAAAACCCGUGGCUCAACUGCGGGCCUGCAGUCGAUACGGGCAGGCUAGAGUUCGGUAGGGGAGACUGGAAUUCCUGGUGUAGCGGUGAAAUGCGCAGAUAUCAGGAGGAACACCGGUGGCGAAGGCGGGUCUCUGGGGCCACUACUGACGCUGAGAAGCGAAAGCAUGGGGAGCGAACAGG
rnacentral:rRNA from 1 species